rnacentral:rRNA from 1 species
UCCAGACUCCUACGGGAGGCAGCAGUGGGGAAUAUUGCACAAUGGGGGAAACCCUGAUGCAGCGACGCCGCGUGAGUGAAGAAGUAUUUCGGUAUGUAAAGCUCUAUCAGCAGGGAAGAAAGAAAUGACGGUACCUGACUAAGAAGCCCCGGCUAACUACGUGCCAGCAGCCGCGGUAAUACGUAGGGGGCAAGCGUUAUCCGGAUUUACUGGGUGUAAAGGGAGCGUAGACGGCGAUGCAAGUCUGAAGUGAAAGGCGGGGGCCCAACCCCCGGACUGCUUUGGAAACUGUAUAGCUGGAGUGCAGGAGAGGUAAGUGGAAUUCCUAGUGUAGCGGUGAAAUGCGUAGAUAUUAGGAGGAACACCAGUGGCGAAGGCGGCCUGCUGGACAUUAACUGACGCUGAGGCGCGAAAGCGUGGGGAGCAAACAGGAUUAGAUACCCCCGUA